AGUUCCUUAGUGUAGUGGUUCAUCACAUCUCCUUUACACGGAGAAGGUCAUGGGUUCGAUCCCCAUAGGAACUA
rnacentral:tRNA from 1 species